UACGUAGGGUGCAAGCGUUGUCCGGAAUUAUUGGGCGUAAAGAGCUCGUAGGCGGUCUGUUGCGUCCGCUGUGAAAACUCGGGGCUUAACCCCGAGCCUGCAGUGGAUACGGGCAGACUAGAGGUAGGUAGGGGAGAAUGGAAUUCCCGGUGUAGCGGUGGAAUGCGCAGAUAUCAGGAGGAACACCGGUGGCGAAGGCGGGUCUCUGGCUGUAACUGACGCUGAGGAGCGAAGCGUGGUAGCGAACAGG
rnacentral:rRNA from 1 species